CUGUGCUGCUGCUGUGGGCAUCGCAGAGGAUGGGUCUUCCCUGGCCCCGGAGAAACCCCUGGGCUGCAGAUGUCUGUACCCUGACCCCACACACACCCACCCCAGCUGGAGGAAUGGGCAGGUGUGUUUCCUAUGGACCAUCUUCUUUGUGAGAGUCUAAGUGAGCUCAAGUCUGCAGCCAAAAAGAAAGAGGACAGAGAAGCUGUGGGCAGCUGUGGGCCAGGAUGCCUUCCCUGAAGAAGCCAGGGAUCUGGACCCUCAGAAGUGUUGUAGCCCACAGGAUGGAGCCUCUCACCUUCAGGUGGUCUUCCACCUCAGUUAACCGCCUGGGAACACCUUUGAAGACUCAUCCGUUGACUCCACACCUAGUCAAGCAGACAAUGAAUGAGCCAAU